rnacentral:rRNA from 1 species
UACGGAGGGUCCGAGCGUUAUCCGGAAUCAUUGGGUUUAAAGGGUCCGUAGGCGGGACAUUAAGUCAGGGGUGAAAUGUUGCAGCUCAACUGCAGAAUGGCCUUUGAUACUGGUGUUCUUGAGUUAUGUUGCUGUGGUCGGAACAUGUGGUGUAGCGGUGAAAUGCAUAGAUAUCACAUAGAACGCCGAUUGCGAAGGAAGGUCACAAAGCAUAUAUUGACUCUGAGGGACGAAAGCGUGGGGAGCGAACGGG